CGGAGGGUGGCGAUGGCCCCCCUGGAUCGCCCGUCUGCAGCCCAGAGCCAGCGGUGCCCGUCCCGCCGUCUCUUUCUUCCCAUCCCCGCUGCCACCAGCAGGUCCUCGGCUUGCGCGGCGCAAGCGUGCGCUCCGCCGACGGCGCGCCUGCGCGGGCUCACCUGCUUCCGAGACGAUGCCGAUCCAGAGCCAGAGGGACAGCGUGCACACCCUCUUCAUUUCCAGCGCCGGGGCGCGGGCCCGUCGGGAAGAGGCAGCUGCGGCCGAAGCGACGCCUGGCAAGGGGGCUGUGCUGGCGAGGCAGUCCCGACCGGGAUGGAUGCUCUGAAGAAAGACACUGAACCCUCAAAAGGUCUUCUGCAGAUGUUGUGCAAAAACCAAAGGAUAUAUAUGGGAGAGAGAGAGAAUAUAAGACAGCCAGAUGUGUAAAUAUUGAGAAGACUUGGACUGGGUAGACCUGGGCUCAAAUCUCUACAGCCUUAAAACUCACUGGGUGGCCUUGGACCAUUCAGAAUCACUCAGCCUGAUCUGCUACCCUGGCAGGAUUUUUGUGAAGAUAAAAUGGAACCUCAUGUAUGCCCCUCUAAGCUCCUUAGAGGUAGAAUAACAAUGGUAAUGUACAGCAAGUGCAUAGAUAUAUGUAUAGAGUUGGAGAGAAAGAAACAUCUACAGUUCAUUUACAAAGGCAUUCUGACACAGGUAUAUUAAUAAACAUCACUGCCAUACAUGUCUGUCAA